UACGGGGGGGGCAAGCGUUGUUCGGAAUUACUGGGCGUAAAGGGCUCGUAGGUGGCCAACUAAGUCAGACGUGAAAUCCCUCAGCUUAACUGGGGAACUGCGUCUGAUACUGGAUGGCUUGAGUUUGGGAGAGGGAUGCGGAAUUCCAGGUGUAGCGGUGAAAUGCGUAGAUAUCGAGAGGAACACCGGUGGCGAAGGCGGCCUUCUGGACAGUGACUGACGCUGAGACGCGAAAGCGUGGGGAGCAAACAGG
rnacentral:rRNA from 1 species